AGUGAGUAAAGCAAUUAGUAAACUACAGUGAAAUAGAAGAUCAUGCUAAGUAUGGUUAAGAAGAUGGUUGCAUCGUCCAUAGGAUGUUGAUCUCAUGGAGAGGUUGAUUGUGGCUAUAAGACGUGAGGUGCGUCGGAAUGUAGAAGAGGGAGUAGUUUCUAGUGGAAUAUGAAAGAAUGCUUCAAUGUUCAGACAAUGUUCAGUAAGUCAGGAAAUUAAUCAGACUGAAUAAUGAGAAAAAUGUGGACUAUAAUUCGUGUAAAAUUGAGCCCUCAACGGAGGUGGUGAAUGGUGAGAUUUUUUUCACUCAUUAAUAUCUUGUCCUACUUUCCACUGUAAA